rnacentral:pre_miRNA from 13 species
UACUGCCAUUACAUCUUGGCACUGGGAGAAUUCACAGUUGGUUAUAUAAUAUUCUGUGGUUCUGCGGGUGCCAAACUGUAAUGUGUGGAC